GGGUUGUGAGGUUAAGCGACUAAGCGUACACGGUGGAUGCCCUGGCAGUCAGAGGCGAUGAAGGGCGUGCUAAUCUGCGAUAAGCGCCGGUAAGGUGAUAUGAACCGUUAUAACCGGCGAUACCCGAAUGGGGAAACCCAGUGUGAUUCGUCACACUAUCAUUAACUGAAUCCAUAGGUUAAUGAGGCGAACCGGGGGAACUGAAACAUCUAAGUACCCCGAGGAAAAGAAAUCAACCGAGAUUCCCCCAGUAGCGGCGAGCGAACGGGGAGGAGCCCAGAGCCUGAAUCAGCAUGUGUGUUAGUGGAAGCGUCUGGAAAGGCGCGCGAUACAGGGUGACAGCCCCGUACACAAAAGCGCAUGUGCUGUGAGCUCGAUGAGUAGGGCGGGACACGUGGUAUCCUGUCUGAAUAUGGGGGACCAUCCUCCAAGGCUAAAUACUCCUGACUGACCGAUAGUGAACCAGUACCGUGAGGGAAAGGCGAAAAGAACCCCGGCGAGGGGAGUGAAAAAGAACCUGAAACCGUGUACGUACAAGCAGUGGGAGCACCCUUUGGGGUGUGACUGCGUACCUUUUGUAUAAUGGGUCAGCGACUUAUAUUCUGUAGCAAGGUUAACCGUAUAGGGGAGCCGUAGGGAAACCGAGUCUUAACCGGGCGUUAAGUUGCAGGGUAUAGACCCGAAACCCGGUGAUCUAGCCAUGGGCAGGUUGAAGGUUGGGUAACACUAACUGGAGGACCGAACCGACUAAUGUUGAAAAAUUAGCGGAUGACCUGUGGCUGGGGGUGAAAGGCCAAUCAAACCGGGAGAUAGCUGGUUCUCCCCGAAAGCUAUUUAGGUAGCGCCUCGUGAAUUCAUCUCCGGGGGUAGAGCACUGUUUCGGCUAGGGGGCCAUCCCGGCUUACCAACCCGAUGCAAACUGCGAAUACCGGAGAAUGUUAUCACGGGAGACACACGGCGGGUGCUAACGUCCGUCGUGAAGAGGGAAACAACCCAGACCGCCAGCUAAGGUCCCAAAGUCAUGGUUAAGUGGGAAACGAUGUGGGAAGGCCCAGACAGCCAGGAUGUUGGCUUAGAAGCAGCCAUCAUUUAAAGAAAGCGUAAUAGCUCACUGGUCGAGUCGGCCUGCGCGGAAGAUGUAACGGGGCUAAACCAUGCACCGAAGCUGCGGCAGCGACGCUGAUGCGUUGUUGGGUAGGGGAGCGUUCUGUAAGCCUGCGAAGGUGGCCUGUGAGGGUUGCUGGAGGUAUCAGAAGUGCGAAUGCUGACAUAAGUAACGAUAAAGCGGGUGAAAAGCCCGCUCGCCGGAAGACCAAGGGUUCCUGUCCAACGUUAAUCGGGGCAGGGUGAGUCGACCCCUAAGGCGAGGCCGAAAGGCGUAGUCGAUGGGAAACGGGUUAAUAUUCCCGUACUUGGUGUUACUGCGAAGGGGGGACGGAGAAGGCUAUGUUGGCCGGGCGACGGUUGUCCCGGUUUAAGCGUGUAGGUGUGUGUUCCAGGUAAAUCCGGUUCACUUUAACACUGAGGCGUGACGACGAGGCACUACGGUGCUGAAGCAACAAAUGCCCUGCUUCCAGGAAAAGCCUCUAAGCAUCAGGUAACAUCAAAUCGUACCCCAAACCGACACAGGUGGUCAGGUAGAGAAUACCAAGGCGCUUGAGAGAACUCGGGUGAAGGAACUAGGCAAAAUGGUGCCGUAACUUCGGGAGAAGGCACGCUGACACGUAGGUGAAGUGAUUUACUCAUGGAGCUGAAGUCAGUCGAAGAUACCAGCUGGCUGCAACUGUUUAUUAAAAACACAGCACUGUGCAAACACGAAAGUGGACGUAUACGGUGUGACGCCUGCCCGGUGCCGGAAGGUUAAUUGAUGGGGUCAGCGCAAGCGAAGCUCCUGAUCGAAGCCCCGGUAAACGGCGGCCGUAACUAUAACGGUCCUAAGGUAGCGAAAUUCCUUGUCGGGUAAGUUCCGACCUGCACGAAUGGCGUAAUGAUGGCCAGGCUGUCUCCACCCGAGACUCAGUGAAAUUGAACUCGCUGUGAAGAUGCAGUGUACCCGCGGCAAGACGGAAAGACCCCGUGAACCUUUACUAUAGCUUGACACUGAACAUUGAGCCUUGAUGUGUAGGAUAGGUGGGAGGCUUUGAAGUGUGGACGCCAGUCUGCAUGGAGCCGACCUUGAAAUACCACCCUUUAAUGUUUGAUGUUCUAACGUGGACCCGUGAUCCGGGUUGCGGACAGUGUCUGGUGGGUAGUUUGACUGGGGCGGUCUCCUCCUAAAGAGUAACGGAGGAGCACGAAGGUUGGCUAAUCCUGGUCGGACAUCAGGAGGUUAGUGCAAUGGCAUAAGCCAGCUUGACUGCGAGCGUGACGGCGCGAGCAGGUGCGAAAGCAGGUCAUAGUGAUCCGGUGGUUCUGAAUGGAAGGGCCAUCGCUCAACGGAUAAAAGGUACUCCGGGGAUAACAGGCUGAUACCGCCCAAGAGUUCAUAUCGACGGCGGUGUUUGGCACCUCGAUGUCGGCUCAUCACAUCCUGGGGCUGAAGUAGGUCCCAAGGGUAUGGCUGUUCGCCAUUUAAAGUGGUACGCGAGCUGGGUUUAGAACGUCGUGAGACAGUUCGGUCCCUAUCUGCCGUGGGCGCUGGAGAACUGAGGGGGCUGCUCCUAGUACGAGAGGACCGGAGUGGACGCAUCACUGGUGUUCGGGUUGUCAUGCCAAUGGCACUGCCCGGUAGCUAAAUGCGGAAGAGAUAAGUGCUGAAAGCAUCUAAGCACGAAACUUGCCCCGAGAUGAGUUCUCCCUGAGACUUAGAGUCUCCUGAAGGAACGUUGAAGACGACGACGUUGAUAGGCCGGGUGUGUAAGCGCAGCGAUGCGUUGAGCUAACCGGUACUAAUGAACCGUGAGGCUUAACCUUACAACGCCGAAG
rnacentral:rRNA from 1 species